rnacentral:tRNA from 1 species
GGAAGCACGCGGCUCACUGGUGGGGCCCUCGGACUUCAAAUCCGAUGUGCGGGGCUGAUACCCUCGCGGGUGGGUUCGAUUCCCAUGUGCUUCC